rnacentral:rRNA from 1 species
CUAUCUGCCGUGGACGUUUGAGAUUUGAGAGGGGCUGCUCCUAGUACGAGAGGACCGGAGUGGACGAACCUCUGGUGUUCCGGUUGUCACGCCAGUGGCAUUGCCGGGUAGCUAUGUUCGGAAAAGAUAACCGCUGAAAGCAUCUAAGCGGGAAACUUGCCUCAAGAUGAGAUCUCACUGGGAGCUUGAUUCCCCUGAAGGGCCGUCGAAGACUACGACGUUGAUAGGCUGGGUGUGUAAGCGUUGUGAGGCGUUGAGCUAACCAGUACUAAUUGCCCGUGAGGCUUGACCAU